AAAUAGUAAUAAAAUGAAACGGCAGAAAUAAAAGUGCACUGAAAAAGGAAACCUAAUCCACCCUUAGUCAAUCUUCCAAUGGCUGGAAACCAUUAAUCUCUCUUGACAUUUCUUAUCAACUGUCCCAUCCGUUUUACUCUUUUGACAAUAGCACUGCCGAAUAUUUCAUUCUUUGCUUUCUGCUUUUAGAAACAAGUUCUCUCCCAAUCUUCUUAGUCCGGGUUUCUUGCCUAUUGUUCUUCUGCUCUCAUAUCAUAGUGAAUCGGUUCCUCAUUCUCCAGCAAACUGAGACGCAACAUUGCGAUGAAUAAUCGAUUUCGAAGCCAAAACCUAUUUCAUCAGACCCCUGACUACCAACCCCGACGCUAAUCUGAACUUUUUGUUGUUGAACACAGCAUCAACUGGAUCUUCACGAUCGGUAAGUCUUCCACAUUUCUUUGAUUUCGCACCGUAUGUGAUAAAGUCGUAUUAACUUUAAUCCCUUUGUAUUCUGCCAUGUGGUUUUGAAUUUUCCGUGCGAGGUUUCUGCCCGUUGUGUGUACCCGUUCAUGCAAAAGUUGAUUCCUUGAAUGCCAAAGUAUCCAUAAGCCAUAACAAAAAUAUCUGCAUUGUUCAUUUGUUCCUUGUUUGAAAAACAUAGAGAGCCACUCCCAGAAAUUUUGAUGCACGAAAGUUGUGACCCAAGAAAGGUUUAAUAGCUGCCAGACCUCUAUGCUUGUGGAACAUUGCUUGAAAAUAUGAUGACAAUCUUCAUCUUCAUAACCGCACCUAGGGCAUUUGGCAUUUGUCACUAAUCUUCUAUGUCGGAGAUUGCCCAAAGUAGGAAUGUAAUUCCAUGACAUGCGCCAGAUUAUGAUUGUAAUCUUAGACGGUAGUUGUAGUUUCCAUAGUUUUCUGAAAAAUUCCUUGGUUUCGGUCUGUAACAAAUAAUGACUAGGAUUCAGAUUAGCAAUUUGUAAUAGUUUAUAGGCACUACGGACUGAGUAUUCCUCUGUUGGUUCGCCCUUCCAACUUGGAAGUCCUCGUGCACUGAUUCCGAUAGUGGGAUCUGUAGGAUUGUGCGAGCAACCUCCGGGUGAAAGUGAUUCCAUUUCUUGGACUCGUCGAUCAUUCCAGAUGGAUACUUUGUUCCCUUUACUGAUUUGCCAGCUUAGGCCUUGUUGAAGGAGCCCCUUAGCUGCCCAAAUGCUCUUCCAGGUAAGUGAAGGUAAAGUUCCUAACUGAGCCUCUAAGAAAGUCGAAUAUGGAUAAUAUUUUGCUUUUAAAACCCUGGCUAGUAAUGAAUUAGGAUAAUGAAUCAAAUUCCAUCCUUGUUUAGCAAGUAACGCAACAUUAAAUUGACUCAAAUUUCGAAAGCCUAGGCCGCCAUUCUCUUUUAAAAAGCAAAGAUUUUUCCAAGUACACCAAUGAAUUCCCCUUUUCCCAUGUCCCUUCUGCCACCAAUACUUAGCUAUAAUAUUUUCAAGAUCAUCACAAAGGGAAUUAGGUAAUAGACAACAUGCCAUUGUGUAAGUCAGAAUUGCUUGAAGAAUUGCUUUAAUAAAGACUUCUUUACCUCCUUGCGAUAAAAACCUAGUACUACAAUUAUCAAUACGUUUUUUAUGGCGGCCUUUCAAAGUCUGAAAAGCUUCUUUCUUUCUCCUUCCCACCAUAUUCAGCAAUCCCAGAUAGCGUUCUGGCUAGUUUCAACUUCGAACACCCAGUAAAUUGACAACCAUUUUCUUUUCUUCUUCUAAAAUGUUUUUGCUGAAAAAUACCGUUGAUUUAUCAAAAUUCACACAUUGCCCCGAACAAAGUCCGUAUUCUUCCAAUAUAUUUUUGAAUAGAUGGGCCCUUCUUCUUGUGGCUUCUCCAAAUAAGAUAUAGUCGUUGGUAAAUAAAAGGUGUGAAAUCGGUAGACCAUUCCUGCUAACCUUCACUCCUCUUAGAAGUCCCUCCCAUUCUGCGAGCCACAAUAGACUGGAUAAUCCCUCACCACAUAAAAGAAAUAAAAAUGGGCUUAAUGGAUCACCUUGACAAAGUCAUCUGGUCUGUUGAAAUUUCUCUCCUCGAUGUCCGUUCAUGACCACUAAAUAAGAAACAGUGGUAACACAUUGCAUAAUGGCCUCUACCCAUCUAUUUGCAAAACCCAGUUGAAUCAUUAGCUGCUUUAUAAAUUCCCAUUUGAACCUAUCAUAAGCUUUGCUCAUAUCGAGUUUAACUGCCAUUAAAUCUUUCUUCCCCAUUCUUUUCUGCUUCAAUGUAUUCAGGAUUUCAUAGGCUAACAGCACGUUGUUAGAUAUUAGUCUUUCUGGCACAAAAGUGCCUUACGUAGCAUCUAUACAUUUUUCGAUCACUCUUCGAAAUUGGUUCACAAGAGUCUUUGCCAAGAUUUUAUAAAGAACAUUACAAAGACUAAUUGGACAAAAGUGCAUCAUAUUAGAAGGACUAGAAUUCUUUGGGAUUAGUACAAUAUUUGUAAAGUUAAGUGAUCUAACCUCCAUAUCACCGUUUAAAAGAUUUAAGCAGAAAUUGGUAACUUCAUCUCUAAUAAAGUGCCAACAUUUCUGAUAAAAUAGUCCUUGAAAUCCAUCUUCUCCUAGAGCCUUCGUAGAACCCAUGUCGAGCACUGCCAUUUGAAUUUCUUCUUUUGAAUAAUUUUCUGUUAAUUGUUUAUUAUCCUCCUCAUGUAUGCACCAGC